rnacentral:rRNA from 1 species
AUUGAACGCUGGCGGCAGGCUUAACACAUGCAAGUCGAGCGAGCGGCGGACGGGUGAGUAAUGUCUGGGAAACUGCCUGAUGGAGGGGGAUAACUACUGGAAACGGUAGCUAAUACCGCAUACCAUCAGAUGUGCCCAGAUGGGAUUAGCUAGUAGGUGGGGUAAUGGCUCCCCUAGGCGACGAUCCCUAGCUGGUCUGAGAGGAUGACCAGCCAACCUGGAAAUGAGACCAGGUCCAGAACUCGAAGGGAGGGAGCGGGGGGGAAAAUGGCAAAAAGGGGGCAAGCCUGAUGCAGCCAUGCCGCGUGUGGGAAGGAGGCCUUCGGGUUGGAAAGCACUUUCAGCGAGGAGGCGUUACUCGCAGAAGAAGCACCGGCUAACUCCGUGCCAGCAGCCGCGGUAAUAC